UUUCCUGAGAACGUGUUCUGCAAAAUGACGCUCUCUGUAUGAGUUCCCACAGUCAGACACACCAGUGUUGCCUUUAAAGGGUUCUUGGACAUUCACGUUAUUCAGCUUCAUCAUGGCCGGACGCCUGCUGUUAGCUGUCCUCAUAUAUUCCUUUUCCAAGAUGAAAGCAGAAGCUCUUCUUCCACCUAAACUGACAGUGAAUCCACCGGUGAUCACAGAGACAGAAACAGUCACUCUGGACUGUCAGGCUGCAUCAUCUGUUCCUGUGUCUCAGU